rnacentral:lncRNA from 1 species
UUACACCCAUAGCCCCUACUGCUACACAAACUGGACCAAUUAAUAAAGCUCGUGAAUGCCAAUUAAAUUAUCAGGUACUUUUGUUUCUUCUAACUAUUUCUAAUGUUCAUGGGAAAAUGAUGUUGCCUAACUUAGAUACUUUUGUAUUGCAUAGGAAUGAAGGGCCUAACGUGGACAAGAGGGGUGAGCAUUGAAGCAUGAUCAAGCAUGGAGAGAAAGGCGCGCACGCAGGAAACAAGAAUGGAGCUUCAAGUGGAGAUUACAUGACUUUGAAGCCGCCAUGAUGACGUAUGAAGACUUGGAC